GAUGAACGCUGGCGGCGUGCCUAAUACAUGCAAGUCGAGCGAACAGACGAGGAGCUUGCUCCUCUGACGUUAGCGGCGGACGGGUGAGUAACACGUGGAUAACCUACCUAUAAGACUGGGAUAACUUCGGGAGACCGGAGCUAAUACCGGAUAAUAUAUUGAACCGCAUGGUUCAAUAGUGAAAGACGGUUUUGCUGUCACUUAUAGAUGGAUCCGCGCCGCAUUAGCUAGUUGGUAAGGUAACGGCUUACCAAGGCAACGAUGCGUAGCCGACCUGAGAGGGUGAUCGGCCACACUGGAACUGAGACACGGUCCAGACUCCUACGGGAGGCAGCAGUAGGGAAUCUUCCGCAAUGGGCGAAAGCCUGACGGAGCAACGCCGCGUGAGUGAUGAAGGUCUUCGGAUCGUAAAACUCUGUUAUUAGGGAAGAACAAAUGUGUAAGUAACUAUGCACGUCUUGACGGUACCUAAUCAGAAAGCCACGGCUAACUACGU
rnacentral:rRNA from 1 species